UAUACUAUGCUACUGUAGUUUAUUGCCAUGAUAGAUUUAUUUUCUGCUUUAACCACAAAAAAAGGCCUGCACGAUAAUAAAUGCCUUGGCUAUUUACGACCUGCACAUAAUCAUAUGAUGAUAUUCUUCACAUUUGAUCUAAUAUUUACCAUUUUUCUUUUCUAUUCAUGAAUCAUGGGAACUAUUGUUUCUGGUAGUCAUUUAUGUACCAACAGAUCAAUAUGUUAAAUUGUGUGUCUCCAUUGUGUGCAGGGUUUUGAUGUUAGGCUGGUCGAUGUGAAUAGGACGUGUAAAGUUACAAAGGGUGGACAAGUUAUCAAAUACACUGCAAUGUUAGCUUGUGGGAACUACAAUGGUGUUAUUGGUUUUGCUAAAGCAAAGGCUCCUGCAGUUCCGCUUGCUCUUCAAAAGGCAUAUGAGAAGUGCUUUCAGAAUCUGCACUAUGUAGAGAGGCAUGAGGAUCAUACAAUUGCACAUGCAAUUCAGACAUCGUAUAAAAAGACUAAGGU